AUUGAACGCUGGCGGCAGGCCUAACACAUGCAAGUCGAGCGGUAGCACAGAGAGCUUGCUCUCGGGCGACGAGCGGCGGACGGGUGAGUAAUGUCUGGGAAACUGCCUGAUGGAGGGGGAUAACUACUGGAACCGGUAGCUAAUACCGCAUAACGUCGCAAGACCAAAGUGGGGGACCUUCGGGCCUCAUGCCAUCAGAUGUGCCCAGAUGGGAUUAGCUAGUAGGUGAGGUAACGGCUCACCUAGGCGACGAUCCCUAGCUGGUCUGAGAGGAUGACCAGCCACACUGGAACUGAGACACGGUCCAGACUCCUACGGGAGGCAGCAGUGGGGAAUAUUGCACAAUGGGCGCAAGCCUGAUGCAGCCAUGCCGCGUGUAUGAAGAAGGCCUUCGGGUUGUAAAGUACUUUCAGCGAGGAGGAAGGCAUUAAGGUUAAUAACCUUGGUGAUUGACGUUACUCGCAGAAGAAGCACCGGCUAACUCCGUGCCAGCCGCCGCGGUAAUAC
rnacentral:rRNA from 1 species